rnacentral:misc_RNA from 1 species
GGAAGGAUCAUCAACAAAUCCCUCUAAAUACUCAAAACACACCUUUGUGCUCAAAACCCCCUAUAAAUCUAUGCUCUUCUCCGGUCACUUGCUGAUCAAGUGUAUGGUUUGAAUGAGAUCGUCAUUGGUUGUACGAUCCUUCCAUGCAUGAGUUGAGUGUAGGUUUUUUUUUCCCUUACAACCAAAAAAACAACAACAUAAACUCCAAAAAAACACAAUCUUUAUCUAUCUGUUUCUGUUUUUUGUUUUUUUUUCUUUUCAUCUUGUAUGCACACUCGUGUGUAUAUAAUGUGAAAAAAAAGGAAAUAAAAAUAUAAAAAAACUUGAAAACAACUUUUAACAAUGGAUCUCUUGGUUCUCGCAACGAUGAAGAACGCAGCGAAAUGCGAUAAGUAAUGUGAAUUGCAGAAUUCCGUGAAUCAUCGAAUCUUUGAACGCAUAUUGCGCUUUCGGGUAUUCCCGAGAGCACGUCUGUCUGAGUAUCAUUAUCCCAUCUCGACAUAAGAGAUCUUGUAAAAGAUAUUUCUCCAUUGUCGGACUUGAAGGUUUUCUCGAUUUCCAUUAAAAACGAAGUCGCGUCCUUUAAAAUACAGUUUAACAUUUUUAUCAUUCAGUAAGAAGUGGAUCUCGAUUCUUCUUCCCCUGUUUUCGGCGCGAUAAGGAAGCCAGUAAGCCUCCCCAUCAAACGUCGAAAUACAUUAAAGGAGUUUUUUUGAGUUGAACCAAUUUUUCAUCUGAUUGGCAAAAAAUAAAUGAUGCAAAAGUCUAGGGAGUUGGACAUCCUCGGAUGAAAGGCCCCCUUUACUUUCUUAGAUAUGAUCUCAGAUCAGACGAGGCUACCCGCUGAACUUAAGCAUAUCACUAAGCGGAGGAAAAGAAACUAACCAGGAUUCCCCUAGUAACGGCGAGUGAAGCGGGAACAGCUCAAAUUUGAAAUCUGGGAGCAAUCCCCGAAUUGUAGUUUAUAGAGGUGCUUUCGGCGAUGACCCCGGUACAAGUCUCUUGGAAAAGGGCAUCAUAGAGGGUGAGAAUCCCGUCUGUGACCGGGUGAUCGUUGCUAUGUGAGGCGCUUUCAACGAGUCGGGUUGUUUGGGACUACAGCCCAAAAUGGGUGGUAAAUUUCAUCUAAAGCUAAAUAUAGGCGAGAGACCGAUAGCGAACAAGUACCGUGAGGGAAAGAUGAAAAGAACUUUGAAAAGAGAGUGCAAUAGUACGUGAAAUUGUUAAAAGGGAACCGCUUGGAACCAGUGGUGCACGCCGUCAAUUCAGUUCUCCACUCGUGGAGGAUGCACUUUGACGGUGUGCUGGUCAGCAUCAUUUUUGUUCGCCGGAUAAGGUCAUCAGGGAGGUGAAGAUCUUCGGGUCUUGUUAUACCCUGGUGAACAUACGGUGGACGGGAAUGAGGCGUCGCAGCGCGUGCCUGGCUGGGCCGCCUGUCUCUGGGUGUGCCUUGAUGGCGGACUACUUGUAGACCGUUGUCAAGCGUGUGCUCACAGAUGGGGUCGGUCACACUCCGCGCUCCGGAUGCUGACGAAAUGGUUUCAAUCGACCCGUCUUGAAACACGGACCAAGGAGUCUAACAUGUAUGCGAGUGUUUGGGUGGCAAACCCGUACGCGUAAUGAAAGUGAACGUAGGUGGGAUCCCGCAAGGGUGCACCAUCGACCGAUCUGGAUAUUUUUUGAUAGAUUUGAGUAAGAGCAUACAUGCUGGGACCCGAAAGAUGGUGAACUAUGCCUGAAUAGGGUGAAGCCAGAGGAAACUCUGGUGGAGGCUCGUAGCGAUACUGACGUGCAAAUCGUUCGUCGAAUUUGGGUAUAGGGGCGAAAGACUAAUCGAACCAUCUAGUAGCUGGUUCCCUC